CUUAGAACGUUUUUUCCAUCCCAAAUAGGCAGGGUGUGACGUCGAAGGCUCCUGGGGUGCCCCGGCCUCUGCCAGCCUUGGUCCUUAGGAUCCCCUCAGAACCCCAGCAGGCCCUGGUCUGAGGCCGGCUUGGCCCCGCUUCCCUCCUAGCACCGCGCCCCCCCUUGCCUGUCCCUGCCCCCAACACCCACAGCCCCAGCUCUGCAGAGGCCUCUGAACUCCUCCCCCAGCUCUGCUCCUACUGCAUCCACUCAGCCUCCAGGCCUGUCUUGCCCUGGCCAAGCCUCUCCAGCGUCCAUAUCUCCCUCUGCUCCAGGGAGGGGGUCCCCACAGCUCGGCCAAGGCUUUACCCCAACUUCACAGUUCCCCCCGCAUGAUCCACACAGAGGGCCUGGUGAAGUCCUCGGUGCCCACCCACCGAGAAGGCCGGACUGAGACACACGCA
rnacentral:lncRNA from 1 species